rnacentral:misc_RNA from 1 species
GAUGAAGAACGUAGCGAAAUGCGAUAAGUAGUGUGAAUUGCAGAAUUCAGUGAAUCAUCGAAUCUUUGAACGCACCUUGCGCCCUUUGGCCAUUCCGAAGGGCAUGCCUGUUUGAGUAUCAUGAACACCUCAACUCUUUAUGGUUUUCCAUGAUGAGCUUGGACUCUGGGGGUUUUGCUGGCUCACAGUCGGCUCCUCUAAAAUAAAUCAGCUUACCAGUGUUUGGUGGGUAUCAUGGGUGUGAUAACUAUCUACGCUUGUGGUUUUUCCACCAGGUAACCUUCAGCAGUGGAGGUUCGCUGGAGCUCAUAGACGUCUCUCCUCAGUGAGGACAGCCCUUUGAACGUUUGAUCUCAAAUCAGGUAGGACUACCCGCUGAACUUAAGCAUAUCAAUAAGCGGAGA